GCUGCCCGAGCUGCGGACUCCAUCUCAGAGGCCCCGGACUCCCUAGUGACGAGUCCUGAAUGGGCUGCCCGAGGGAAAGGAGGGCACUCCUCACAGCAGCGGCACUCGCCACGGCCGCCUGGCCCCUCACCCAGACUCAGACCCGUGUGGCUGUGGCUGCUGGGCCCCUCUCACAGUGUCCUUGGGCUCUGCCCGCUGCCCUCCCCUCAGGCCCAGGGAGGGGAGCAAGGAGAAGGCAGGUGCGCGCAGCAAGCGGGCCCUGGAGGAAGAGGAGGGUGGCACGGAGGUCCUGUCCAAGAACAAGCAAAAGAAGCAGCUGAGGAACCCCCACAAGACCUUCGACCCCUCUCUGAAGCCAAAAUAUGCAAAGUGUGACCAGUGUGGAAACCCAAAGGUGAGUGGGUUCCGGCUGCAAGCCACCAAGGCUUCAGCUUUGGGGGUGGGCAGGGUGGUCUCUGCACUGCUUGGGGUGGCAGGUCUGGUGCCCGCCCAGCUGGGUUUGCAACGUGGCUCAAGGUGGCAUGGAUGCCUCAGGACGGCCCCUUGCUUCCAGCCAAGCCCCUGCCCAGGCCUGGAGGGGAAGAGAGUCUGGGUGGGUGGGGGUGAGGGAGAGGCAUCUGGCUUGGGAGCAGUUCCCAGGGCUGCAUCCAGGCCGUGGGCAUCUGGCAGAGGCUUCCCCAGUGGGGCU
rnacentral:lncRNA from 1 species